GGUAGUAAAAGUCGUAACAAGGUCUCCGUUGGUGAACCAGCGGAGGGAUCAUUACCGAGUUUACAACUCCCGAACCCAAUGUGAACCAUACCAAACUGUUGCCUCGGCGGGGUCACGCCCCGGGUGCGUCGCAGCCCCGGAACCAGGCGCCCGCCGGAGGGACCAACCAAACUCUUUCUGUAGUCCCCUCGCGGACGUUAUUUUUACAGCUCUGAGCAAAAAUUCAAAAUGAAUCAAAACUUUCAACAACGGAUCUCUUGGUUCUG
rnacentral:misc_RNA from 1 species